UACAGAGGGGGCAAGCGUUGUUCGGAUUUAUUGGGCGUAAAGGGUGCGUAGGCGGCGAGGCAAGUCUGGUGUGAAAUCCCGGGGCUCAACCCCGGAACUGCACUGGAUACUGCUUUGCUAGAGUACUGGAGAGGGAACUGGAAUUUACGGUGUAGCAGUGAAAUGCGUAGAUAUCGUAAGGAAGACCAGCGGCGAAGGCGAGUUCCUGGACAGUUACUGACGCUGAGGCACGAAGGCCAGGGGAGCAAACAGG
rnacentral:rRNA from 1 species